rnacentral:lncRNA from 1 species
GUCAGCACGCCUAGGAAUUACUCCAUAUCCAAAUGAAUUGCCUACAAACAAAAGAGUAAUGCAAGGAAGGUCUGUGAGAUAAAGAAGGAUGAUAUCGAAAAAGGAUGUGUUGUUUGUAGGGAAAUUGGACACAACAAAGCCUCUUUCUUGCAAGUAAGUCAACCAACAAACUAAGUCAACAACAUCUCCACCAUAGCAAAAAGAACCAACAUUAUCUCUAGUACAACAAAUUGAAUCAAUAGUUUCUCCAUCAACACAGUUUAAUAUACAACUAG